GUCUUCGACGUACCCGGGAACAAGUGCUUAACGCUACUAAGAAAAGAGAUAUUCAGACUGAAGAAGAAAUGAAAGUAAAAUGCUCAGUGCUGCUGGUGUCCAUGGUUUGAAUGUCAAUUGGUACAAAAGAAAAGUCAUGACUCAUAUUGGACAUAAUAAACAUGAAGCCAAGGAGAGAAACAACAUCUAUGAAUGGAUUCAAAAAUACCAGGCCAAGUAUAUACACUUCAGAAAGAAAAAAGACAUUUUUUUUUAUAUUCAUAUACUUGUAUAUACUUACUGCCUAGACCAUCCAGAAGAAUGUCCUGAAACUUGUUCAUGUAUGUUUCAUCUAGAUGAACUCCAAACACCUUAUUCUGAAAAUUUGAGUGGAUUGUCCUUUACAUGCAUGUGUGCCUUCAAUUCUUGAUGUCUGCUCAUCAUAACAAUGAAUUCCAAUAAA